rnacentral:lncRNA from 1 species
AUAUUUUAUUCUGCCUCUAACUCAUUUUCCACUAUUUUUAGUGUAUUUUCAAAGUUACACUACUGCAGUAACUCAAAUCUGUCAAGGCUAAAUUACUCAUUCAUGAUCAUUGUUCACAAAAUUAAUACAACAUCAUUUGUAUAAUCAUCACCGAGACAUUCAUAUCACAUUUUCAUUUACAAUCUUACCAUUUUGUUGUUAUGUCGAGUUUUCAACCCGAGGGUUAAGUACAUACCUGUUCAAAGUAUCCAUUUCACAACAUUUAUCAAUACGUCCCUUUCAUCUCGAGUAUUCCUCCAUUUGAGUAGAAUUUUACCCAUUGAACACAUCGGAAUAUAAUUCGGAUACAUGGAAAGUUUGCACAUAAGUGCCACAUAUGUAGCCAAGCUACCAUGUAACCCGCCCAUAAGUGAACUCGGACUCAACUCAACGAGCUC